rnacentral:rRNA from 1 species
UGGGGAAUAUUGCGCAAUGGGCGAAAGCCUGACGCAGCGACGCCUCGUGAGGGAUGAAGGUCUUCGGAUCGUAAGCCUCUGUCAAGAGGGAAGAAACCAUUGAAGUCGGACAGGCUUCUUUGCUGACGGUACCUCUAAAGGAAGCACCGGCUAACUCCGUGCCAGCAGCCGCGGUAAUACGGAGGGUGCAAGCGUUAAUCGGAAUCACUGGGCGUAAAGCGCUCGUAGGCGGCUUGGUCAGUCAGAUGUGAAAGCCCUCGGCUUAACCGGGGAACUGCAUUUGAUACUGCCAGGCUUGAGUGUCGGAGAGGGUGGCGGAAUUCCAGGUGUAGGAGUGAAAUCNGUAGAUAUCUGGAGGAACACAGUGGCGAGGCGGCCACCUGGACGACAACUGACGCUGAGGAGCGAAAGCGUGGGUAGCAAACAGGAUUAGAUACCUGGUAGUCCACGCGGUAAACGAUGGAUGCUGGGUGUCGGGGGUUUACCCUCGGUGCCGCAGUUAACGCGUU